rnacentral:lncRNA from 1 species
CUUAAAACAGGAAGAGUCAUCUGGUUAUUCAGUGGGCCCAGUUUAAUCACAUGAACCUUUAAAUGUUGAAAACUUCCUCCAGUGGCACCACAAGGGAAAAUUAGGGAUCACAAUCAUGAGAAAGAUUCCUAGUCUUUUGCUCACUAUUCAAGGAUCAGAGGGAGAGAGGCCUUGAGGAGCAAGAGCACCCCCAGCUGACCCCUGCAAGGACCUGGGAAUCUUAGGCCUACGAGCUCAAAGGACAGGAUCUGCUCACACCCAAGGCCUGGAUGCAGGUUCUUCUGGAGCCCGAUAAGAGCCCAGUGGCCAACUCCUUGAUUUUGUCCUCAGAGUUCCAGGACAGAAAAAUUAGCAAGGGACCCAGACUCUUGGCCUACAGAACUGUAAGAUAAUAAGUUGGUGUUGUAUUACGCCACUAAAUCUAUGAUCAUUUGUUACAGCAACAAUAGAGAGAUAAUAAAGAGGCACUGGAUUAGGCAAAGAUUUCUUAGAUAAGAUAAAAAGCAUGAACAACAUGAGGGGGAACAGAUCAAAUAUAACUUCAUGAAAAUUAAAAACUCUGAAAUCUGGAAGAUACUUCUAGCAAAGACUUAAAACUAUUUACAAAACACAUAGCUGAUAAAGGACUUGAAUCCAGAAUAUAUUUUUUAAAAAAUCUUACAACUCAAAAAUUAAGAUGAAAAAAUCCUCAGGUUUUUUUAAAGAGGAGAGAGCAGAAAACUGGAGCAGACAUUCAAUCAAAGAAGAUAUACAAAUGGCAAAUUAAGCACAGAAAGGAUGCUCAACCUCACAGACAUUGGGGAAAUGCAAAUUAAAGGCCCAUGAGAUACCAUUACAUAUCUAUUUGCAUAACUAAAAUUAGCAAGACCGACAAUUCUAAGAGCAGGGAUCAAACUCGGAACCUUGCGCUUGUGAGGCAGGUGGUGGAACCACUGAGCUAAAUCUAGACCUCCUUGGCUCUGAUUACCCUUCUUGGUGGAAAGGAGCCCUUUUCAGAAAGAUUGGGAAUGGCACCCCCCCCCCCCCCCAAUGCCUGCUGCAGCCCAGCUGCUCAGGAACUUCCAGAAUGAGAUCCAAGAACACCCA